CAGCUACCUGUGAAGUGAGACUGUUGGCAUACCCCACGCAUCCCAUCUUCCAGCUCUGCAGCCCAGCUGUUAAGGGAACUCCCAUUGCUUCCUCUCCUGCUGAUCUAGGCACCUGUCCAGUCGGGGUGCAUAUUGCCUUUUGUUGUUUCCAUUACAAAUGACAAUCUGACUGUCCAAGCAGUGUGAGGUGGAGUGUGGCAGGGUGGUGGAGGCCAGUAGCAAGAUGUCUUGGCACCAGCUGGUUGUGUACACAUACUCCUUUGCCAUUCAGCAACUGUAAUAACUGGCUGAGAGGUCAGGUGUGAAGGAAGAGUCGGUGAAGGAAGAGCCCGUGGAGGUAAAGACAGAACCGUUCCAUGUCCCUCCGUCUGAGGCCAUCCAUCAGCGUGUGACCCCAGGAGCAGAGAGGAGGCUCCCCAGGAGCUCUGGCCAUGUGCCGAGUGACCCAUGCGAAGGUUGGAGUCGGAGCCCGCAGAACCCCUCACAACCUGAACUUGCCAUCAGUGAGGUGGGGGGGCAGCAGGAGCCACUGGGCACGGAUUUCACGAGUAUUAUCUUUGACCAAGAGGCAGAGCACCUGAAUAAUUGUAACGUGGGUGAGCCCGUGACCCCCGGAACUAUGUCGCUGCAGGAGGGGGGGCCUGAGAGCAGCCAUCUCAGCCAAGCAGAGAAGCGGAUCAUCCAGUCGAAUGAGCAGCUGGUGCAGGAAAUGCGAGCCUUCCGCAGGGAGUAUGCGGAGAGCCGCAGGGAAACCGCCUCCAUCCUGCGCAUCAUUGCUGAGGCCCUCAGUGGUGUCAGCAGCAGCCUCUCUGAGAUCCGAGAUCUCUACCUCCGAGAGCAGGUGACCCCCAAGCAGUGAGGGGCCACAGGGCCUGGUUGUAACGCAGCUGGCUGUGUGGGGGAGGACUGUGACUUGUUGGGGGAGGGAAACCCUGAAAGGGGUGGCCUGGAGCAGAGACAUAAGAGGCCUGCUCAGUUGAUGGGAGAGAGAUUUUGGUUUGGGGACUGGUUUCUCCCCCAAGUUGUUCCUUUUUUUUUUUUUUUUUUUUUUUUUAAACCCUGCCCUGCCCUUUCUCCACUUCAAUAAAACUCUAAACUGGCCACA
rnacentral:lncRNA from 1 species